AGGCACCUGAUUCUGGGAACGUGGCUCACCUUUCCGUCCCUUGUAGAUUUCUCUAUUGGUUAACCUGAGCAAGCCCCAUUCAACCAAAAUAGGCUGCCUAUCACAGUCCCACACAUGCCUUUUUGGAGUGUAUUGUGAUUAUCGCAGAGAUCUCAAACUGGACAAAAUGGACAGAUAAAGACUGGAUAUUCUCAGCAUUACUUGAGGAAACAACUAACAGCAUAGAUCCAGGAAACUCUUUUCCAGACACAGCAGGGAGCUGUUCCUAUGAACUCAGAGACGGUGGAAGCAGAAGAACGCACAAGACUUGUGCAAGCUCAAGAACAAGACUAUAAUACCCUGUUGAUGAAGACAUAGUUGAGUCACAGAACAUGGG
rnacentral:lncRNA from 1 species